GCCCCGUGAUGAGACCAAGGCGAAUGUGAGCUCAUUGGAUAAUAGUCGGAGCUCUCCUGUGUCCCAAUUGGCUGGUAAUCUUGGCUGAGCAGUGGAGAUUUGCUGCUUUGCUGUAAGGGCCUGCCUACAUUGAACAAGCCCCUCCCCUUAAGCUUUUCCUUAGAGAUAUGUAGGAAAGAGAGUUGGGUAGGGUUGUCAGUGUGUGUGUGUGUGUGUGUUGGAACACCGGUCGAGACUCUGUUCUCUAUAAUGUAUAGUGGGCUAUGAGCAUGUUCUUUGGUAAUCUGAGGGCA